rnacentral:lncRNA from 1 species
UUUGCAGGGUAUUCAUAAUGAUCAUGUUAAGAACCAGUGGUAAGUACAAACCACAAUGAUGCUCUGAUGCUUGUUGAAAAAGAAAGCAAGCGGUUCUUGUGUGUGAAAUUCAUGGCCUUUUGAUUACUUUGUUUUGUAGGAACCUCCAUGGAAGAAAAAGUAACUUGGGAUAGAAGGAGAUGAUGAUAUGAAAGCAUGAAGAUGGUGGAUGUUAAUGCUUAGGAAUUUGAAUUGAAUGUUAGAACCUUAUGUCAUGAGCUUGUAUUUUUGAAUUUGAUUCAUAUGUAAGGUAUCAACAUGAUUAUGUACUUGAACCUUGAAUUUUGAAUUUGAAGUUGGUAAUUGAAUGGAAUGUUUGGAUUUGUAUAUGAGUUAAUCAUUGUAAGCAUGUGUGGGCUAUAGCUUGGAUGUAGUUUGGAAUCAAAUCAAUGCAGUGUAAAGCAUGUAAGACGUGGCUGGAAUUGUAUGGAAAUGUGAAAUGGUGCAAAAUGUACUUGAAAUGUUAUUUGUAAUUUGAUUUUGAAUGAAAUGGGAAGUGUAUGAUUAUAUGAUA